rnacentral:lncRNA from 1 species
AAGGCAGAACAACAUGACUGAAGGCGAUGAGGAACAGCUGAUCACCUGUGGAAGUCAUUUGUCCUAAAUUGUCAUGGACAGACCAUGUGCCUUACAGCAAGAAAAUUCUGUGAAUAAACAGGAAGCCAGCCAGCCAGGGAAGAUGCUUUUGUGAUAUAUCCCAGCAUGCUGAUGACCCCAAGGAGGACCACUGGAUACCUAGCAAGGUCUGGAACAUAGCUCUUAUUCUGGGAUUUCAUCUGUGAUCAUCCUGGGAAUUUUCUGUAUGAUCUUGGGUCCUGUUCCCAUUUCUUCCUUUUUCUUACUUCAUUCCCUGAUUUUGAUGGAACAUUUUCUAAAAUGGCUUCAUCAGAAAGGGUAAUAAGGAGCUGGCUGCAGCAUACCAUGAAUCCUCACAGCAACUUAAUGAGGAAAAAGAAGAACUGAUUGAAGAGUGGCAACCAGAACCUCUUGUUCCUCCUGUCCCAAAAGACCAUCCUGCUCUCAACUACAACAUCGUUUCAGGAAAAACAUCAAGAAAAGGGCAGUAAGAAUGUUAUUUAAAAAUAUGGAGGUAAAUUUCAGAAGAAAAUGCCGAAAAUGUUUGCCUUUGGAAAACGAGAAUCAAGGGUGAGAAUGGAAACAUCUGCGUGAGAAGGGCCCCUCUCAUAAAAUGAAAACAAAGGACAGAAAGCAUUGCUGAGGGCUUAAGGUGUGGAUGAAAUGACACAU